AGUAGUUUCGAUCCGUGGCUACGAGGACGACGCUGGCGGCGUGCCUAACACAUGCAAGUCGAGCGGGGACAUACGACGGACAGGAAGUUUUUCGGAUGGAAUGGAAGAUGUAUGUUCUAGCGGCGGACGGGUGAGUAACGCGUGAGCAACCUGUCCCUUACAGGGGGAUAACACAGCGAAAGCUGUACUAAUACCGCAUAAGACCACAGAGAGACAUCUCACAGGGGUCAAAGGAGCAAUCCGGUAAGGGGUGGGCUCGCGUCCGAUUAGAUAGUUGGUGAGGUAACGGCCCACCAAGUCAACGAUCGGUAGCCGACCUGAGAGGGUGAUCGGCCACAUUGGGACUGAGACACGGCCCAAACUCCUACGGGAGGCAGCAGUGGGGAAUAUUGGGCAAUGGGCGAAAGCCUGACCCAGCAACGCCGCGUGAAGGAAGAAGGUUUUCGGAUCGUAAACUUCUGUCCUUGGUGAAGAGCGGAAGACGGUAGCCAAGGAGGAAGCCCCGGCUAACUACGUGCC
rnacentral:rRNA from 1 species